UACGAAGGUCCCAAGCGUUGUUCGGAAUUACUGGGCGUAAAGCGUACGUAGGCGGCUUUGCAAGUCGGGUGUGAAAGCCCUCAGCUCAACUGAGGAAGUGCGCCCGAAACUGCAGAGCUUGAGUGCCGGAGAGGGUGGCGGAAUUCCCCAAGUAGAGGUGAAAUGCGCAGAUAUCGGGAGGAACACCAAUGGCGAAGGCAGCUCGCUGGGACGGUACUGACGCUGAGACGCGAAAGCGUGGGGAGCAAACAGG
rnacentral:rRNA from 1 species